AAGAACUUUCUCCUUGCUCUUGGCGUUGUCUAGCCUGUUGCCUCCUACGUCUCGUUUUGCUAUUGAGCCUCCUUGCGGUUCUCUCGAUCUCGGGAUCAAAAAGAAGUUCGUCCACAGGGAUUUGCCCUCGCAUAAAACGUAAGCUGCACACUAAACCAAACAAAUUACAAGCACAAGUCAAAAAUUCAAAAGCUAAAAAUUAAGCAACCAUUGCGAUGCUCGCAAUAUCAAUUUACAAUCCCCG
rnacentral:lncRNA from 1 species